GUAGGAAAGCAAACAGAAAAAUAAAACCUGGGGCGGUGUUCCACAUAGGGGUGGGGAGGAGGUAGGGAUGGGCAGAAACGGACUCUGGCUCAUGUACUAUUUCCAAUAGAAUGCCUUGGUAUCUUGCCCCUCAAUCUCCUCCUCCUCCUCCUCUUCCUCCUCCUCCUCCUCCUCCUCCUCCUCUUCUUCUUGUUUUUAACAGCCACUAGCAUCAUGGUAGAUGCAUAUAGAUGUUGAACACUUUUUACUUCAAAGGCCAUGUCAAGGAGUUUUGGACUUUGUUAUCAUCUACUGUUAAAUGGAAAACUUCAGUGUUUCCCUAGCUAUAGUUGGACCUCUUCAACACAGGCAACAGUUAAUCCCAGCAAGUAUCUUAAUAUUAAUGGAAACUCAACAGAAGUAAAACUCAUCAGCACCUUCAAAACUCUGUAAUACCCGCCCUGCCGGCAGACCUGGUAUUUGAGUAAAUAGUGUUUAUAGGCAGUCAUCGGAGACCUCCUACCUCCUCUCGCAUUCAGACAUUCAGGAACAUAGAUUGUUGACCACUGAAUGUCAUGUCUAGUUAUUUGACUUCUACAAAACAUGAAGAAAAUACUUUCCUUGAGAAGCCAGUGCCGACUUUACUUCAAACAGAAAGAACCGGAUACUGGUAUCUCACACCCACUCCAUCCCAAGGUGCUGUGUGUGAGCCAGCAGAAGAUCCUAAAAUGAAUAAAUAUGACUACUGGAAGCAGCUCAGAGGGGAAAUGAAACAAAAUCUCAUCAAAGAACGCAAGCUGUGUAACAUUCAAGUGACAUCAGGAUCAGGAGUGGUGAUAUAGAAGGUGGUCUGGCUCUGCCGCAGACAGCAAGAGUCUGGGCAAGCUACGUCUAUGAAUAUCAAUCUCCUCAUCUGUAAACUAGAGUAAUGCUGCUUAUUUCAUAGAGCUCAUGAUAAUUAAAUGAUGUUGCAGCGGGCGGGGGGGGGGGGGGCUUAAAAAAUGUUAGUCUUCUCUCCAGAGAGGAUCCUCGAGGGAGCAUGUGGUCCCAGGCUUUAUUUAUAGAUGGAGAAGCUGAGGACUGGGAGUUUUAGCAAGGCUAGGGUCGGACAGCAAAGAGAUGGUGAUAGAAGCCAGCUUAAGAAUUUGGUCUCUUAAUUCUUGGUUCUGCACUUGGAGGGCUCAAAGGAGGGCAACAUCACAACCUGUUGGGAGAAUCAAAAAAGUCUUUAGUAGGGGGGUAUGUCUCAAGAGAGUGAGUUAUGCUGGAAUGUAUUCCAGAUGAGGGCCAUGGCCUGGAGUAAGCCCAGAAAGAGGGAAUGCAGGGUAUAUUCUGGAAGGUUGCUAGUCUCAUUGAGCUGGAGUACAGGAUCCAUGUUGAGAGCAGUGAGGGAUAGACGUGGAAAAACAAUUUGGGAUGACACAGUGGGGACCUCUGCGUGACUCAGAGGCAGUGGGGAGCUGCUGAGAGUUUUCUGAAUCCACCUUCAGGGAGAACAGCUGAAUGGCAGCAUGUUGUAUGGAUUCUCUGACAGGGAGCCUGGAAACCAGCAGAAUGGUUAGGCAACAGCUGCUCUGGUCCAUGUGAAGAGCCUGCCCGGGAUGUCACGGUGAGAACAGGUGAGAGAGACACUAUGGGACUUGAUAAUUGACUGGAUUUAGAAAGGAAGGUGAUGGACGUAGAAGCAAAUCUAAGCAUUCUGUCUUGGUUGAGAGCAAUUAUUAUGUCAAAAGUGUGAAAGAAGAGGAAUUCAGUUUUGGAGAAGCCAAAUGUGAGGCCCCAGUGAGCCAUCUCAGUGAGACUGGGCCACCUCUAGUGAGAACAGGCAGGGCUGACUGCACAAAUUUGUGGGUCAUGACAUUUGGGUGUAACCGAUUUAUGGAAGAGAGGGCUUUCAAGGGGGCUCUGUGGAGGCUGGAUAUAAAAGCCUAAUGCCCAGUUACACUCAGGAGAGGACAGGCAGCCAACGAGGGAUUGGAGAAAGGGAAAUCAAGAGACAGAAGAAUCAUCAAGAAUGUGCAAUUCCUUUUCACGUACCUCUGUGGAUCAGGUGUUCCAACACAUCACAGUGACCAUGCUCAGCAGCAACGCCUAAUGGUGUAACCCCAAAUCCAUCUCUCAGGUGGACAUUGCCUCCGUGAUUUAGUAGCAGAGCUAUGAUAUCUUUGCGGCCUAGUUUGGCUGCUUCAUGCAUUGCUGACCAUCGCUUCAUGCAGGGCUGGUCAAGGCUGGUGUUGUGUUUAAGCAGUGUGAACACCAUGUCAUAGGAGCCAUUUUUUACAGCUAGAGGGUGAUUUUUUAAAAAGAAUAUCAAUAGUAGGUAUAUAACACGGAUCCUUUAGAUGGUAUGAACUUAAUUACGAAAUUUAAUAUGAAAAUUGUUAGUCACUAUUCCCUUCUCUUCUACAAGAGGAUAUUGUAGUUUUUGUUUCCUUCUAUUUCUCAUACCCAAGAUGAUGUUGCCUUUUUUUAAGAUCCUGGCCUGAGGUGGGGUGAGAGGCUCAUGGAAUAUACUUCCCUAAAAUAGGAUGUUGUAUAUACUCUUUCUAAACUUUAGGAAAUUAAAAUAAAUGAAAAAAAAAAAACCAUCCACUAUUGGGUUGUAGAACUUAAUGUAUGGAAAUGCUUAGUAUAUACUAGGAGCUCAAUAAAUUAUAGCUGUUAUUAUUAAUAUAAUAUUUCUAGGAUCCUGGGGCCACAUGUGUAAAUAAUGCCUAUCAAGCCCCCUCCCCACCCCCCAGAAAUAUUUUUUUUUGUUUUCCUCCACCAAACAUAGCAUUGAGUAUUAAAUGAACUUCCCUUUCCCCGUGAUCUUAAUGGGAGGUUAGAAAUGAGAAUGUUUUUAGUUUUUUUGGAGAGAGCACGUGAGCAAAGGGAGACUCCUAAGUGGACCCCAUGCCCAGCAUGGAGCCCCAUGUGGGGCUCAUCGUCAUGACCUGAGCUGAAAUCAAGAAUUGGUGGCUUAACUGAGUUACCCAGGCAACCCAGCAAUGAUAAUGUUUAGAAUCUAGGUAGUUUAGAAUCUGUUGUAAACAGGUGAAGCAUAUGACAGCUAAUGUACUACAGUGCAAGAGACUCACUGGAUCAGUGGUCUCUCUCCCCCUCUGCUAUUUCUAAUAGAUUGAAUUACAGUUAAAAGCAACCCCCCCCCCCCAUUUGAGUUAAGAGAUUGUCUUAGUUUAGAGAUAAAUAACUCUGGAAUAUAUGAUGUUUCUCUUAUCAGUAAGUAAAAUCUUUUUUCUUUUUUUAAUUUACUUAUUUGAGAGAGAGUGAGUGAAAACAUGUGUGCGCACAAGUGAAGGGAGAGGUAGAGGGAGAGAAUCUUCAAGCAGAUUCACUCCUGAUGCAGGGCUCCAUGUCACAACGAGAUAACGAAUGACCUGAGCUGAAACCAAGAGUCAGACAUUCAACUGACUGAGCCACCCAGUAAGUAAGGUGCCCCAGGAAGUAAGAUCUUAAUAAGAAACAGAGAAGGAUGAGUGAUACUCCUUGCUAAUGGAAGUAAAUAGAGUUUUAUUAAUUCAUUCACUCACUCAUUCAGUUCAGGCACUCAGGCUAUAUGAAAGGCACAGUGUCAGACACUAUGGACAACAGGAAAAAGAUGGACUGGUUCUCACUUAUGCAAUUUAUAGUCUAGAGAAGAAGCCUAUAGUGUCUUCUAUUUGAAGAGAGACUCAGAGUUAAGGUCUUCACUGGGAAAGGCAGGAGGAGAUGAGGAACCACACAGAGCAUUCUGGGGGCAGAAUACAAAAAAAAAGCUUUGAAGGCCAAGGUAAGAGAAAGAGCUCCCACCGGAAGAUGAAGACAAACUCUGCCUAAUUCAUUUGGAGCAGGGAAACCAUUACUAUGGUGAGAUUUCACUUUUUCUCCUGCUCACUAAGUAGGAGUCUGUUGACAAAUGCCUUUCCCUGGAUUGCCCACCUGCCACUGGCAGCUCUAAUUAUAGUGAAUUGCCUCAUCCUAGCUGGUGUCAUUGCAGAGAAAAACAUCAAUAAGUGAAAUGAACUAAAAGAUUGAACAAAGUCAAUUGAUGAAAAGGAAAGAUUAAAAGACAUGAUUCAAGUUUAUCAAAUGAUGUAUUACAGAUUCACUGUGUGUAAGUGGAAACUGACCCACUCAAUGUCUCAGAGCUAUUGAGUCUGGAGAGAGCACAGAAUCCUGUGAAACAAAGUGUCUAAUCAGAUCAGUGGCUUCAUUGGACUGAUUUUAGCAAAAUCAACCAGUCAACUAAGAGAUUUCAGAGAGACCUAAAAUUCUGUCAGAAUUGGGGUCCAGUCCAUAGACACAGAUAUCUUACCAUUAAAAUUGAGAUGUAGAUUAUAUUCCACAGAUGUAUGUGGAAAAGAACAGCACAACGUCUGCACCCAGCGUUGCCCAGAAUGCGUGACUGGAGCAGUCAGAAGGCUCUUUUCAGGUUGUUAAUGAAUCUGCUUGCUUUACCUACAAAGCUAAUUUAGAUUGUCUUUAAAUAGUAUAGAAUCUUUUGAAAAUAUCCUCAAAAUCUCACAUUUUUUCCUCAAAAUCUGUCAGACUUAAGAGUGACAAAAAAAGGGGGAAAAUAUGCAAACAUGUGGUUCCCAAGGGCACUUAAACAAUAAUAAAAGAAAAAUUUCAUUUUACAAAAUAAUUUAUUAAAUUAUUUCUUAAGUAGCAAGUUAUCCUCGUAACGUGAUGUACAUGAGUUCAACUACAGGUCUUCUCUGAAACCUAUCUUUUGGAUAGUGAAGCUCACAGAUUCCUCUGAAUGAGAUAAAUUAAAAAAGAGGAAGCUAGAAAUAAUGAAAAUACAUCCUUAGGACUUAAGUGGGGCAGGAUCCUCCUCCCUCAGUUUGGAGCCUAGGUGUCUGGAGAAGAGCUUUCUAUAACCAUGUGGUUGAACGAUCUUGUCCUGCCUCCACUCUUAUUAUAACAAUGCAAAGGGUGGUCAAACAGUAAAGUGAGGCGGUUACAUGGUCACUUAAUUAUUGAUGAUAUUCUGGUUUUGAAUUCAAAGAGUCAGGAAGUUCAUGGGCUUUCUUCAUAGUGGCCCACAGCCCUACUGCAGCUUUCUACCAUCUAGGGAGAGUCCUUUUCUUAGAGCAGUGUUUAAGUAUAUUGUGGAACACGGAUGCGCUGAGAGAGAAAUAACAUCUCCUCCUCCACAAAGAGCUGAAGGAAGCCUGUGGGAGACAAUUACCACCUGGCUAUCGACUGUGUUAUUGGUAAAUAAAGGCCAUUUCUAAACAGAGAUCAGUUGAACCAAAACACUCUGAAGCUGUGGCUGCGUUGAGGGACAGCACCACCUAAUGGUAGGAGACACACAGGAAUGGAUGCCCAUUGGUAUGCUUUUCCAUUCUGCAUUUUGAACACUUAUUCUAAGACUUAGGGAUGCAUUGUGGAUACAGCAGUCUCUUUUCAUAACCGGCUUAACCAGAUAGCCUCCGACUGAGCCUCAACACUGUGUUUUGCAGUGGUUUGCUGCCUAGUAAUUAUAAUGAUGGCCAAUGUUUUUUUGAGGUCUUGUUAUAACAAAGUAUUAGGCUAAGUCCUUUCCCCAGGGUUUCUGUGUACAGUUGUAUAGGUUGUGCCCUGCAUAGGGAUGCCUUGGGUGAAGGCACCAAGGGAAUGAAAUCAUCUUCAUCUCCAGUCAUUGAUAUGAGUGGCCUGGCGAAGGGCUGUGCCUGCCUGGAGAGAGAGUUGAGAUUUUCUAAAUUGCACAAAGGUGAUGUCUAAUGCAAUCCUGUCAUCUGUGCAUUAACUCACAUUUAAUCCUCACAACACUCCUGCAAAGUAAGUGUUACAUUAUCAUGGUCCUUUCUCAAGGAGGAAGUAAGCCUUAGGAAAGGUUAAGUAAAUUGCCCAAGUUCCCAGAACCAGUGAGGGGGCACAGCUGACAGACUUGAUCAUAUGCUAAGAUACCUCCCAGCAGCGUGAGUGUGUGUGUGCACAUGCACACACAGGUGCUUCUGUGUCAAUUACCGUCUCCAUCCCCAUGCUGGAAUGAGAGAGGUAGUGUAGUGUCUUCUCACUACAGAGGAGCUCCACUCAAGUGGCCCAGAGCAGAGGCAAGCUCAGAGCUGCUCCAGUGUCUGGCAAGUGUGAUUGAAUGUCUGCUCUGCUCAAUGAUUCAAGCAACUCAACAAGUAGCUAAACCAAAACGACAUCAAGCAUUGCAUUAGAGAACCUAGGGUUACCAUAUACCUCAAGCCUUCACCUGCUACCUUUGCUUAACUUGUAUGCUCUCUGAACAGACUUUGCACAUUCUUUCCUGUAUCUUAUUCACCCUGUAACCCAUUUCAAAUGCCUUUUGUUGCCACUCCCCAUCUCUGCGUACAGAAGUCUUGCUCCUUUAAGACCCAGCACCUGGGUGGCUCAGUGGUUGAGCAUCUGCCUUUAGCUCAGGUCAUCAUCUUGGGGUCCUAGGGUCAAGUCCCGCAUCAGGUUCCUUGCAGGAAGCCUGCUUCUUCUCCCUCUGCCUAUG